CGGGUUCAUUUCAUUUUACGUUUUGAGACCCCAAAAUAAACCCCUCGUCUUCUCUUCCGACACUAAAAAAAAUUGUCGAACCCUCAAGUCUUUCCACCGUCUUCUUCGUCUCCUUGUGCGAUUGUUCUCACCAUUCAUCAAAAUCAUCUCUUCAAUUCCUCUUUUAUUCGGCAAAAUCAACAUUGAAUCACCGAUAUUCAAUAUUGAAUGGCGACUUGUCUUCAGUUUCAUUCAUAUUUUGCUUGCUUGCACCCACAAACACCAUUGAGAAGAACCAUGACAAUGUUGUCAAACUAUUUGUACUCACUCUCACAAACACCUCACAUGCUUAGAAAAAGAAUGCUAGCAACUUGGAAACCAGACCAAGAGUUCAACCAAGUGAGGCAGAGGUCAGGUGCAGACAUGAAGAGGAAGCUUAAAUGGUAUGAUCUUAUAGCUCUUGGAGUUGGAGGAAUGCUUGGUGUUGGUGUGUUUGUCACAACUGGACCUGUUGCUCUUCAUCAAUCUGGUCCUUCAGUCUUCAUAUCUUAUAUCAUUGCAUGAAUAUCAGCACUUCUUUUUUCUCUGUGUUACUCUGAAUUUGCAGUUCAAGUUCCUGUUGUUGGUGGAGCUUUCAGUUAUUUAAGAUUAACCUUUGGAGAAUUUAUGGGAUAUUUUGUUGAGGCAAAUAUACUAAUGGAGUAUGUGUUCUCAAAUGCUGAUGUAGCUAGAGCUUUACAGAAUAUUUAAGCUUUGCUUUUGGAGAAAAUAAUCCAAAUGUAUGGAGAGUUGAAGUCCAUGGAUUGCCACAGGAUUAUAACAUGUUGGGUUUUCCAGUAGUAGCUCUCACUCUUCUACUCACUCUUUGCUUGUGUCACAGGUUGAGGAUCCUACUACUGCAUGGAUAGCGAAGAUAAAUAUGGAAGGAACACAAAUUGCAGUUAAGAUGGGUAUUAUUUCGCUGGAGUUUUUGAGGAUCCUGCUAUUGCAUGGAUAGCGAAGAUAAAUAUGUUGAGCUUUUGUCUUUAAAUAUGAAGGAUGGUGAUAACUAGUCAAAACCAAAAAGUAUAGGGCGGAAAGAGCUUGAGAGCUUUUAGAACUUUUAAAAUGUCAAAGAAAACGGUUUUUUAUGAUACAUUUUUUAACUACAGCGAAGAACUGUUGGCGUAGUCCCAAAAAAAUCUCUAAAAUACAACGGCAACGGUUAUUGAGUAGCAACGGCUUAAAACCGUUGCUGUAUUUUAGCAUAAAAACCGUUCUCAAAUGAUAUCUACGACUACGGUUUUAUGGAGGCGUUGCUGUUUUUGACCAAAACCGUUGCCUAAAGCAUAGACAACGCCUCGGUACACUACGGUUGAAAAAUCGUUCUAGUAGCUUACGACAACGGUUUUUUUCACAUAUGCAACGGUUUUUCAGCGUUGAAUUUGAUAGAUUAAUUGAAAGACUAUUAAGAAAUGUAUCUUCCAUUUAUUAGAUUCCUUUAAGGUUGGUUCUAUGUCUUCCAAAA